GGCUGAGCCACAGGCAAAUUUGUCCCUUGGAAGUAUCCGUCGGACUAGGACGCGUUGGCGGCUCCAGAAAGUGACGUAAUUAACCCUGUCGCUUCGGGGUCUGGGAAGAGCUCGACACUAUCGCGAGGGCUGGUUAGUUUCAGAACAGAGAACUGUCUGAAAAAAGACUAAAAGAAUAAGAAAAACCAGGCCUCUGGAAGAAUGGAGCUAAAGAAUAAAGAUGGAAUCCCUGCAGGCGUUAUAAGGCAGCAGCAGAUGAGACAUGAAGUCAAGGUGUCCUCUAUAAACAUCCCAAAUCUGCAUUGCCGGAGCUAGUUUUGGGCUCAUCUUCUCCAAUGUGGUCUUUUCAGCUAAUUAAGAGAGAACUCUUGGAACCUCUCUGGUGGCGCAGCGGGUUAAAGCACAGCACUAAGAAGCUUAAGCCACUUCAGCAUGAGUUCAA